GGGUAAAGCUGAUCUGCCCUGGGUAAGUCGGGGCCUAAGGUGAGGGCGAGAGCCGUAGCCGAUGGACAACAGGUUGAUAUUCCUGUACUGCAGUAUGACAGAACUGUGGGGACACGUAAGGAGAGCGGGAGCCGGGAAUGGAAAGCCCGGUACAAGCGAGGUACCAGUAUGGUAGGAAAAUCCGCCAUGCAAUGGGAAGACGUGAUGUGGAGCGAAGAUUAGUAGCGAAGCCCGUGAGCCAUGCGUCAAGAAAAGCCGCUAUCGUUCAUAUUGUACCCGUACCGUAAACCGACACAGGUGGAUGAGGAGAGAAUCCUAAGGCCGGCGGAAGAAGCAUUGUCAAGGAACUCGGCAAAAUGGCCCCGUAACUUAGGGAUAAGGGGUGCCUGGGAAACCAGGCCGCAGAGAAUAGGCUCAAGCAACUGUUUAGCAAAAACACAGGUCUAUGCGAAACCGAAAGGUGAGGUAUAUGGGCUGACGCCUGCCCGGUGCUGGAAGGUUAAGAGGAGAGGUUAGCGCAAGCGAAGCUUUGAAUUUAAGCCCCAGUAAACGGCGGCCGUAACUAUAACGGUCCUAAGGUAGCG
rnacentral:rRNA from 1 species